AGAAUCAACGCUGGCGGCGUGCCUAACACAUGCAAGUCGAACGCGGUUGCCCCGCAAGGGGUAACUGAGUGGCGAACGGGUGAGUAACGCGUGGGUGACCUACCUUCGAGUGGGGGAUAACGUCCCGAAAGGGACGCUAAUACCGCAUAACAUCCUGCUCUUGAACGAGCGGAAAUCAAAGCCGGGGAUCGUAAGACCUGGCGCUUGAUGAGGGGCCCGCGUCUGAUUAGCUAGUUGGUGAGGUAAUGGCUCACCAAGGCAACGAUCAGUA
rnacentral:rRNA from 1 species